UAUUCUGCCUGCCUCAGGUUUUGCAACGUGCAUCCAGUAUUUCUUCCAUGAGUCUGAAUAUAGUCACUGCAUUGCACUGCGUGAUCCAGCCCUUCGUACCUACGCAUAAGUUUCAGGCUAAACCAAAUUAAAAAUAUGUUUACAAAGAAGGCCAUGACUCAGUCGAAGUCUGGUGAGUAACACUGCAGCAUUCUUGGAAAGGGGCACGCCCAGGUUAUCGGGUAAGCCAUCAGGGGGUCGCUCGUGAUGACUGAUGAGGUGCCAUAUGGCUGAGCGUUAGAACGUGGAGACUGCAGCUUUUACAUCUGGAGCCAAACAUACAGAACGUUCCCUUUUGCAAUGAGGUCACGCGGCGCAGGAAGAUUGCAAAGUAACACAUCCCCUGACACAAGGCAGCAAAGUGCGUCAGUCUGCUGGAAACCCUGGAAGGUCUGGUCACUAAAUGGACUCUAAGCCGAAGAGGUGUGAGCCCUUUCUUUCCAGGUACUGCACCCUGGGAAGAUACUAGUGUAACAACUGCUACCCUGGGUCACCAGCAGGCAUUCAUCCCAGGGUUACGAAUUCCAGCUUCUACCAGCAGAGCUAACGGAGGAACUCCCCUCGCUCUAGCAGCCUCCUAUCCCGAGACCAGCUCCUCCAGAGGAAGCAUGGCACACCCUGAACCCUGGUGUACACCACACCAGAGCCAGGAGCUCUUGGGGAGGAAGUGGUGCCUUGACCUGGAGCUGGGGGUACCUCGUUCUCUGUCACAAAAAGACUCGUACGUGGCAGCGUGCAGCAGGUCAAUCGGAUAAACGACACGGAAGAAAUCGCUGGACCAUGCAUGAAUGAACGGCCCUUGUCUGGAUGGGCUGGCACCACGACACUUUAACAGCCCCUCACUUUCGUGGGAUACACAUUCAGGGACCCAGAGUGGCUGGGGUGCAAAAGAAGACAAGAGCCUAGAAGCAUUAACCUUCAGACUAGGCUGCUCACUAGGACUGGUGAACUCAAGCCAAUUCCCACAACAGUCAGAUUUACUUGACUUUAUGGAGAGACGAAAUGUAUGGCUGACAUGCUUUAGUUCUGCUGGGAAAGGCAGGGGCUUCAAGGUGCAACACACAAAUGCAAAAUACACACGGCAGCUGCAGAAAGCACAACCCCCAUGACGAAAGGGAACCCUCACCAGGAGGCAAAGAGGAGGCUGCAUUUAUAAACUAAGGCCGGGGAGCUCACCCCUCUGGAACUGUGUGCAGAUGGGCACGGGCCGUGUGUGCAGUUCUCUCCAUGGCGGAGGCCCCGUCCCUGGGGCUAGGUGAGGAUGGGGCCUGCAGACUGCAGGCCGUGGCGCUAUGGGUGGUGUAGGAGGGACAUGCCCAGACUGAGGUACAUUUACCCACCGCCCAAACACAGCUGCGGGAGCCGUUAGCAUCUCUGCUGAUCCUCUCCGUGCUGUGUAACCUCUCUACAGGCGGGUCCAGGGCAGUGGCUGACAUAGGGGCAGGGAGGGGAAGGGGGCAGAGGCAGUGAAUCCCCCAAUGUCCCUGGUCCUACAGCUAACCCCCUAGCCAUUCUGCAGAGUGGGGGAGGGUAAACCCCACCCACUCUGUUCUGCUACUGCCCUCCUCUGUGGGAGGAGGUGAUCUCGCCCUUUAAGAGCUGUCCCAGGUUACCCUGAAGGCAGCCAGAAGGGGACCCUCUGCAGUCAAUUUUGAAUCUUGAAAAGUUUAGUCUUUUUUAAGCCAUUUGUUUAAGUGCGACUGUGAAUCUGUGACAGUUUGUAGCCCUAUGUUCAUCUUUUUUACAAGGCUAUGAUGGAUUCUGUACAAAUUAUGCUUUGUGAGGUAUCGUUUGAAAACUCAUAACUUGCUGAUCAUUACUGUCCUGGUAAAAUGUGUGUGGCAACUUUGUAUGUAAAGGUAUAAGAUUCUACUGAAUAACAUUAAUGCGACAUGCUCCAUGUUUACAAAAGCAGGUGCAUAUCAGUUCCUCAAAGACAAAAGACAAACUGAUGCCUCAGCCAAGUGUCAACAAAAUCAAAUGGUCUGUCGCCUGGUUAAGUGGCCAUUCUUUGGCAGGAAAAAGGGCAUGAGCAAGAAAUUUACAUUUUGGCAAAGAAACAGCAGGUGGUUCUGGUCCCCACAUAUUGUCUGUCUCCUGAACCUCAGCUGGAGAUGAUUUUCAAAGAAAAAGACAACUAUAAGAAAGGAGAACAGAGGUCCCAAAAUACUCCUCCCUUUCUCUCUGCCAUGGCAUCACCACCACCUGAAGGACAAGGAAAUUAAUGCUGAAGUGGGGGAGUGGUCCUGACUGGUAGGAUUCUAUCCAGUAAGACUGCUAAAGCACAUGGUGAGAGACACCUUUGCUUUGAAUUCAUUUAGCUUGUUAAGUUAGGUGUUAGUUGCAUUUUACCUUUUAUUUUCUUGUAACCAAUUCUGACUUUUACACCUCAUUAUUUGUAAUCACUUAACGUCUUUUUGUAGUGAAUAAAUUUGUUUUCU